GUCACAAAUUUAGGUCAAAGGUCAAAACAGAGUUUUGAGCAAAUAGAUUAUUUUGAAAUAACUUUGCGGUAGUUACAAGAAUACUCAGUGCUGACUUUAUAACCAAUAAGUCCCUACGUUGUUGGUCAAGAAUAUACAGUGAAGGGUAAAAUCUGAGAAAUCAAUAGAGAAUUUGUCCAAUCUUUACCCCCCAAAAAAAGUGCAAAGGGGUGUAUCUUUGUGACAAUGUCACUAUUGUAUAAAAUAAUUUUUCUCUGCAAUAAAUCUAGCCCAAUCAGCUUUAAUUUUACAUGGCUAUUUUCUGCCAUUUCAACAAAAAAUUUGAAAUGUCCACAUUUAAUAUUGUAGUCUCAAUUUAGUGUUUAAAUGGCAUUUAAAUUGCAAAAUAAAGUCCUCUUGAUAUGCAUCAGUUUAUGUAUAAAGUUGGCAUCAAAAAUAAUAAAGUUGUAUUUAUAAAAUUGUUGUUAAAUAUUUGCUGAAUGCUUACUAUCAUGUUCUUAUGUUGUUUUUUUCUCAUGAUUUUCUGUGUUAGAGCAUCGUAGCUGCUCAUCAAUGUUUUAUUUGCCAUGUAUUCAUGUUUUUAUUGUUUUUUACUUGCAAUACAGUUGUUAUAGCCUUCCAAGGAUUUGCUAAUAUUUUAAAUCAUUGUUUUGUCUUAUAAAUGUCAACAAAAAUUUAAAACCUAUUUCAACCAUGUUUAUGCAUUGAUAAAAGAUAAGUAUAUCUCCCCAUUCUUUCCGUGACAUUAAUUUUUAGGUUAGUGUGUCUCUAUAGAGGUUGUAUUUUCAACAAUAAUUUUCAUGUACCAUUCAACUAUUUUACUGCAAAAAACAAGCGUAUUACAGGUCAUAACUGUAAAUCUACAAUUAUUUUUUAAUGUCUUUGCUGGGUACGGAUUUGCAUUCCUUGGAAUGUUUGAUGGCUGAUCUUCUGAGAUUAGAAGUUGCUUUAUUAUUUAUUCAUUUUGUAUGUUAUGUUUUUCAGUGUAUGUUCUUUUUGGCAUGUUUUGUUCAGUUUUGCUCUUUGCUCAGUCUUUGUUUCUCAUUCAUUUUCAUCUCACAAAAUUAACUGCCACUGUAAAUCGGUUUAGGUGCGUAUGCAAAUCGGAUUCGCUCUUGGUUGAGUUUCAUCUGUAACUUGGUUGAGUUGCUUUGUAACUUGGUUGAGAUGCUCUGUAACUCUGAAAAUAAUAGUAAGUUAUUUGCAAGUGUGGAAUUUAAUAGGGGGGGGGGAGUAAUGUUGACUAAAGCAAUAACCUUUUCGUGAUUGUAUUGUCACUCAUCAACCACUUAAUAGUAGACGAUGGAAUCUUCUUUAUUUAAACAUCAUAUUAUUUGUUUGUUGUAGGUAUAGCAAACUUUGAUAGCAACAUUCUUUUUGACAAAUGAUUUUUUUCUGCUACAUGCUACAGCUAUACUCACCAUUGACUAGGCACCAAAUAAAAAGUCUCCAUGCUCGAUUAGUGUUCUUGUGUAACAUGUGGCAGCGAUAAAGGGUAUCUCGUUUUUAGUUGUCAGUCGUUGGUAUGAAAACACAUUCCAUAUAAAUCUUUGAUUUGAAAUUUUAAUUCAGUCUGAUAUAUUGCAAAGAGUGUUUAGAGAGACUGUAGAAAUUAGUCAGCAUUUAUAUGUCUAAUAAUGUUCAUCUCUUUCCUAACUUCUUCAUAUUUUUUUUUUAUGAAAAGUAUUACACAUACUUUAUUAUUUUUUAGCUCACCUGAGCACACAUGCUCAUGGUGAGCUUUUGUGAUCACCUUUUGUCCGUUGUGCAGCGUCAACAUUUGCCUUGUUAACACUCUAGAGGCCACAUUUAUUGUCCAGUCUUUAUGAAAUUUGGCCAGAAGAUUGGUCUCAAUAAUAUCUUGGAUGAGUUCGAAAAUGGUCAUGUUUGCUUGAAAAUGGCUGCCAAGGGGCUGGGCAUUUUCCUUAUAUGGCUAUAUAUGGCUAUAGUAAAAUCUUGUUAACACUGUAGAGGCCACAUUUACUGUCUGAUCUUCAUGAAACUUGGUCAGAAGAUUCAUCCCAAUAAUAUCUUGAGUUUGAAAAUGAUGCCUGUUGGUUGCAAAAACAUGGCCGCCAGGGGGCGGGGCAUUUUUCCUAAUAUGGCUAUAGUAAAACCUUGAUAACAGUCUAGAGGCCACAUUUAUUUUCCGAUCUUCAUGAAACUUGCUGAGAAGAUUUGUCCCAACGAUAUCUUGGAUGAGUUCAAAAAUGGUAACCUUUGCUUGAAAAACAUGGCUGCCUAAGGGCGGGGCAUUUUUCCUUAUAUGGCUAUAGUAAAAUCUUGUUAACACUCAAGAGGCCACAUUUAUUUUCCAAUCUUCAUGAAACUUGGUCAGAAGAUUCACCCCAAUAAUAUCUUGGACGAGUUGAAAAAUGAUGCCGGUUGGUUGAAAAACAUGGCCAGAGAGGGUGGGGCAUUUUUCCUUAUAUGGCUAUAGUAAAACCUUUUUAACACUCUAAAGGCCACAUUUAUUUUCCGAUCUUCAUGAAACUUGGUCAUAAGAUUUGUCCCAAUAAUAUCUUGUUAUCUCAGGUGAGCGACUUUGGGCCUUUCAGGCCCUCUUGUCUGAUUUCAGUUGAUGAUUAUCAACAAUAUAUAUAUAUAUAUAAUAUAUUUAUACUUACCAUUUCUCUGAGACAGGAGUUGCAGGUUGAAUACAUUCAUUCUUAUUAGUUCACAUGAGCACAAGGUGUUCAUGGUGAGCUUUUUGUGAUCGCCUUUUGUCCGUCGUCUGUUGCUUGUUGUGCGUCGUCAACAUUUGCCUUGUUAACACACCAAAGCCACAAUUUUUAGUCAGAUCUUCAUGAAACUUGGUCAAAUGAUUUGUCCCAAUGAUAUCUUUGAAAAAGGUUCUGAUUGGUUCAAAAACAUGGCUGCCAAGGAGCAGGGCAUUUUUCCUUAUAUGGCUAUAUUUAAACCUUGUUAAAUUUCUAAGAAGGCGUCGUCAAUAUUUGCCAAGUGUUAACACACUAAAGCCACAUUUAUUUGUCAGACCUUCAUGAAACUUGGUCAAAUGAUAUGUCCUAAUUAUAUCUUUAAAAAUGGUUCUGGUUGGUUGAUAAACAUGGCUGCCAAGGGGCAGGGCACUUUUCCUUAUAUCACUAUAUUUAAACCUUGUUAACACUCUAAAAGUCACAUUUAAAGUAGAAUCAUAAUGAAACUUCGUCAGAACAUUAAAAUUAUUGUACUUAUGAUAUCUUGGAUGAGUUUGAAAAUGGUUCCGGUCUGAUGAAAAACAUGGCUGCCAGGGAGAGGGGGAUUUGUUUUUAUAUGGCUUUUGUAAAACCAUGUGACAUUUAUGGUCCAAUCUUCAUGAAACUUGGUUGAACAUUUUUUUCUCACAAUAUCUUGUUUGAGUUCGAAAAUGUUUCCCGUCCAUGGAAAAACAUGGCCAGGAGGCGGGGUAUUUUUCCGUAUAUUGCUAUGGUUCUAAUGAUAGAUUGGCCCUGUUCAAAAAUGGUAAUGGGUGUCAAAAACUGUCCCCAGAGUUGGGGCUUUUUUCCUUUUAUGGCUAUAGUAAAUCCUUGAUUACACUCAAGAAGUCACAUUUUUGUCCAAUCUCAAUGAAACUUUGUCAGAAAAUUUGUUCUAAUGAUAUCUGGACUGAGUUCAAAAUGUUUCGCGUCCAUUGAAAAACAUGGCCGCCACAGGUAUCGGCUUUUGUUAUUAUAUGGCUUUAGUAAAACCAAAAACAUGGCCGCCAGAGGUAUUGGCUUUUGUUAUGAUAUGGCUUUAGUAAACCUUGUUAACUCUCUAGUUUAAUCUAUGACAUUUUUUUGCUAAACUUUUAGGAGAAAAGGAAAGUUACUCUACUUGCCCUGAUGUCAACAUCUGAGCUUGCUUUAAGUUUUUUGGUUAGCUUGUUUCUCAGGCAUGUCAUGAGGAGUUUCAUACAAACUUUCAACAAGGAUGACCCAUAUUAAAAUGGUCCCAAUAUUAACAAGAAAAAGUUUAGUGUGCUGUCCUCCAACAGCUUUUUGUGAAAAUGUUGCAAAACUGUGAACAAGUCUCUUAAAAGUGCAGAAAAAUGUUGGAACGUUUGGUGUACCAAGAUAUCAAAAAUAAGCAUAGGAAAGUAAACCUCGAACUUAAACAAAAAAUGUUUGUUUUGGAUUAUCCAAUCAACUCUUACCAUAUAGCAUUAACAUGAGAUUAAACAUUUUUGUCCCCGUUGAUCAAUAAUUAAGAAGACAAGCCAAUUUAUUUAAAAUUUGAUUUACUUGAAAGAAUUUAUGAAAUCCAUUUCUAUAAAAAUGCACAAUCAAUUUUAUUUUUUAAUAAAUUGUUGUAUGUGAUAUUUAUUAAUGUAAUAUUACUUAUAAAGAACCUAAUUUGGUAAAUUGUUUUGUUUACAAAGUCUAACAAAGUUGACAGAUUUAGAAAUGUAUGCAUUAUUGUUUUAGGCUAAUAGCAUUAUUGCACUUUUUGAAAUCUUAUUAUUCAAUGUUGUGUAACAUACAAUUAAAAAAACAUAGUGUAAAUAUGGAUCUCUUGUGGGUUUUUUGUAUUGCCUAUAAAUGGAAGGUACAUCUUUAUUAUAUUAAAUAUGUACAUUACUGUCAAGAGGAAAAGGGAUAUACAUUUCAUGUUUCGUUUUGACAUUGUUAUACAUAAUUACGAUACAAAUCAAUAAAAAAAAAUUGAAUAAAC